rnacentral:rRNA from 1 species
UGGUUGACCUCGAAUCAGGUAGGACUACCCGCUGAACUUAAGCAUAU